rnacentral:rRNA from 1 species
GACGAACGCUGGCGGCGUGCUUAACACAUGCAAGUCGAACGGAAAGGCCCUGCUUUUGUGGGGUGCUCGAGUGGCGAAAGGGUGAGUAACACGUGAGUAACCUGCCCUUGACUUUGGGAUAACUUCAGGAAACUGGGGCUAAUACCGGAUAGGAGCUCCUGCUGCAUGGUGGGGGUUGGAAAGUUUCGGCGGUUGGGGAUGGACUCGCGGCUUAUCAGCUUGUUGGUGGGGUAGUGGCUUACCAAGGCUUUGACGGGUAGCCGGCCUGAGAGGGUGACCGGCCACAUUGGGACCGAGAUACGGCCCAGACUCCUACGGGAGGCAGCAGUGGGGAAUAUUGCACAAUGGGCGGAAGCCUGAUGCAGCAACGCCGCGUGCGGGAUGACGGCCUUCGGGUUGUAAACCGCUUUCGCCUGUGACGAAGCGUGAGUGACGGUAAUGGGUAAAGAAGCACCGGCUAACUACGUG